rfam:Fistulifera solaris DNA, contig: scaffold00252, strain: JPCC DA0580.
UCAUCUCUCUUCGCCAUAUUGGCUUUGAUCUGUUUGUAGUAACUGUUCUAUAUCUUUUAACAAAGAUAUGCUAUCCUUGGAUAGCUUUUUGUUAUACUAUUCUUUGCAAACGGGAGGAACCCGCUGCGCUUGCGCAGUCUCCUCCACGCAUGGUCUAGGCAUUUCACACACCGCCCUGACUGUGCAACCCCC